rnacentral:rRNA from 1 species
GUGCCAGCCGCCGCGGUAAGACGAACCGAGCGAACGUUGUUCGGAAUCACUGGGCUUAAAGGGCGCGUAGGCGGAUCAGCAAGUCCGGGGUGAAAUCUUUCGGCUCAACCGGAAAAGUGCCUUGGAUACUGCUGGUCUCGAGCGAGGUAGGGGCAGAUGGAACUUCCGGUGGAGCGGUGAAAUGCGUUGAUAUCGGAAGGAACUCCGGUGGCGAAAGCGAUCUGCUGGACCUCUUCUGACGCUGAGGCGCGAAAGCUAGGGGAGCAAACGGGAUUAGAAACCCCCGUAGUCC